UCUGCUGCUGUUAGUUUGUCGUCAUACUUUUGUCAAGAAGUCUGUCCCUGUACCAGCUGUUCCUGUGUUCCAGGUCUCUUCCCUGUGAUUGGACAGUCAUCAGCUUACAUAUCCUCCAUCCAUCUCCCUCCCUCCCUCUGUCUGUUGGAGGAUAUUAGAGUUCUGCUCUUCAUCUUCAGACUUUUUGCAUUUUAGAUUUUUACCUUUCUACAUUUUUGGACUUUUGUACCGGAAACUUUCUUCUUCAACUCUGCGAUCAACAUGAAGAUCUCUAUCUUUGCCUGUGUUCUGCUGAUCUCUGCUGUCAUGAUCUCGGUGGACGGAGAAACUCCAGCUGAAAAGUUCAAGCGACAGCAUAUCAACAAGGACAUGGAUCCUAAACGCUGUGACGCUGUGAUAAAGGAGAGAAAAAUCCAUCAAAACAAUAGGGCUUUUUGUAAGAAGGAGAACACCUUCAUCAGUGCGAGUUAUGGCGAGGUUAAAAAGGUCUGUGAGAAGGAAGGAGAGCCAUAUCCAAAUGAUAGAAAUCUGAGAAUCAGCCUUAACUCGUUCAGAGUUGUUAAUUGCAAAUGCAAAGACAACAUGAGGCCUCCCAACUGUGGCUGCAAAGGCUCUCGUCCCAACCUGAGAAUUGUAAUCGCUUGUGAUAACAACGAUAAUCCAGUUCACUAUGAAGAAGGUCUGUACAUUACCUCCCUGAAUGAGACUAAACUGUUAAUACCUGAUGGAUCAGAGUAAUCUAUUACUAUCUGAAUCGGUAACUUGUGUCUUCUAAAAAUGUGACCGUUUAACUCUGGGUCUGUUUUUGAUGCUGUCAUGUUAACUGAUUUAUAAAGAUAAGAUGAAAAUAAAGUGACAACUGAGACUA